GCUCCUUUAAGCACACUAUGUGAAAUAACCUCAUCGAAUCUGCUCUGUUUUUAAACUCCUCCCCUCAGUGUAAUCAGUUAAACCCAACACCUGACACUGUUCAACUCGAACACACCUAAUUUCACGUCAUCAUCAGCUUCCGACACGAGAUACACGAUUUCCCACAAUCGCACUACUACAAACUCCGUCAUGUGAUCAAUCACAUGACUCCAGAGCACUAACUUCACACCUGUACACAUCAUUACUUCCUCUUUACAUCACCUGAUCUGAUCACACUCUUCAAAUCAUUUCAGACCGACCUUUAUUGGAAUUUUAUUUUGCCCCACCCCUAGCGGAAAUGAGCUGCUCAUCUCCGGCCCUUUUCCUUAAAAGAGUACUUGUAAUUGAGCUGUAAUUAGAUAUGAGUGAGUAAAGUUGGUAUGAAUGAAGAGGAAAACAUCCACAAAAACAAACUCCAUCAUAACCCAGGAUAAAGUGCUUACUGCAGAAUAAAUGAAUGAAUGAAUGAUAUUGUCUAAGCCACAACCUUUGUUUCUAGGUAUUAAAUUUUCACUACAGGGCUAAGGGCUCACCGUUAUUGGGUAAGCACACUGUGCUUGGGCGUUGCAUUUAAUAAAACAGGAAAGGAGUUAGGAUGGCUAUCGUCAUUGAAGUUAAGAUGGAGGAGGAGUCUGUGGGUGUGUAUAAAUGUGUGUGUAUGGGCCACAACAUUUGCAUUCUUGAUUGCUUCCUUAUUGCUUCAAAUGACUUCUUUGGCUAAGGAAAUACUUUUUUUUUUUUUUUUUACUGUUAAAUCAGAUUGAUUUUUGGAAUGUCUGCCAGAAUUUAGCAUUUCUAUUAGCAUUUAUUUUAAGAUUUGGACAUCCAUUUGUAAAAAUUAUUCUGUGAGGAAUACUACUUCUAAUCCAGUGACUGCUGUCCAGAGGGAAUUAUCUAUUUUUUGAAAAAAAUAAAGACAUUGGGGCAGUGGUAGCUCAAGUGGUUAAGGCUCUGGGUCAUUUACCAGGAGAUCAGGGUUCAAGCCCCCAGCACUGCCAAGCUGCCACUGUUGAGUAAGGCCCCCAACCCACACUGGCUGACCCUGAACUCUGACCCCAACCCCCAAGGAUGGGAUAUGCAGAGAAAGUGCUGUAAUGUAUGUGAAAAAGAAUAAUUUCCCUCUUUCCUUCUGCCUAGUUGCAGCCCACUGGAAGUAAUUUUUUUGUUUCUCACAGCAUUAUGUUUAAACCCUCGGGACGAUUCUGUCUGAAAAUCCCAGGAGAUACUCAACUCUUGUAAACCUCCUGGCCAUUUAAAGGACUUUGUUUUGUAUGAAUGUAACUGCUACUCUCCCUGUGGUUAGGAGAGUUAAAAUUCGGCUGGCUUUUAAACAAAAAAGAACAAGAAGGAAGAAAGUGUAAUACUGAGCUUUAUGUUUGUUAUGUGUGUGCACCGAUGUUUAUGGCUUAUAACUGUUUACAUCAUUCUUGUUCUUGAAUAUAAAUGGGAACAUUUAUUCUAAAAAGGGGAGGGGGGGCAUAUGUAACAGACUUAACUGCUUGAUUACUUAAGUUGUGGUAACCGUUGUUGUCCUGACACUCAUUUUGUGUGUGUGUGUCCGUGUGUGUGUGUGUGUGUGUCCGUGUGUGUGUGCAUGUGUGUGUGUGUGUGUGUGUGUGUGAAUGCAUAUUUUCUUUCGGGGCUCACCGUAAUUGGGUAAGCACACUGUGCUUGGGCGUUGCAUUUAAUAAAACAGGAAAGGAGUUAGGAUGGCUAUCGUCAUUGAAGUUAAGAUGGAGGAGGAGUCUGUGGGUGUGUAUAAAUGUGUGUGUAUGGGCCACAACAUUUGCAUUCUUGAUUGCUUCUUUAUUGCUUCAAAUGACUUCUUUGGCUAAGGAAAUACUUUUUUUUUUUUUUUUUACUGUUAAUCAGAUUGAUUUUUGGAAUGUCUGCCAGAAUUUAGCAUUUCUAUUAGCAUUUAUUUUAAGAUUUGGACAUCCAUUUGUAAAAAUUAUUCUGUGAGGAAUACUACUUCUAAUCCAGUGACCGCUGUCCAGAGGGAAUUAUCUAUUUUUUGAAAAAAAUAA